rnacentral:miRNA from 1 species
UCAGGUCCUCGGUGGUUUAU